AGAUUCGAGUGAACUGGAUCCAACUAAACAAACAAUUUUCCCCAUUUGCCAUUCCCGACGAGCACCUUCACCGUCUCCUCCCAGUCCCACCUCGCGUGGCACGCCAUGGCUUUCUCCCCGCGCUCGCCGUGGUCGCGUGCCAAGAAAACCGACGUCUACUCAACCUUCGUUGUCCACGGCGAUGACGAUGAAGACGACGCCCGCGGCGGCAGGGGCCCCUCCACGCGGGCGGAGGAAGACGAGGAGGAAGACCCCUCCUCGCUGCCUCCGCUUCUUCAGCGGCUCCCCAAGGACUUUGGCGGCGCCUCGUUCGACGACGACGAGGACCCCUACUCCUCCGACCCUGACGAUGCUUCCCUCUCUGCCACGGCGGCCUUCAAGAGCGGCGUCCCGGCCUCCGGUCGAUCUCCGUUCCUGGAUCUGCGGCGCUCAAGCCCCCGCGCUACCGAUGACGACCCGUACUCUACCUUCGUCGUUCAUUCCACCACACGCUCGGGGAGAACCUCCUCCAGCCCUCGCGGGUCCGCCUCCGGCACAUUCAUCCGUCGCUCGGGUGGCUCGUCUAGCCCUCGCGAGUCCGUCUCUGGCACAUUCAUCCGCCGGACCGGCAGCCCGUCGAGCCCCGGGAAGUCAGCCUCCGGCACAUUCAUCCGCCGGCCAGGGAGCCCGUCGAGCCCCCGCGGGUCGUUCUCUGGCACCUUCAUUCGCCACACCAGCGGGGGCUCCAGUUCCCAUGAAUCUGCCUCUGGCGGCGGCGGGGGUUUCGGGUCCUCUUUCUGGACUCCAGCGGUGGAGCAGUCAGAGGAGCUCCGGCAGCCAUCGCCUCUGAUGCAGCAACAACAGCAACAACAUUCAAGGCGGAAGCCAUCGGUCAGCUCGGUGCCAGACAGUGUUACCAGGGAGGAUCCUUCCACCAAGUACGAGCUGCUCCAUGAGCUUGGGAAAGGUUCAUAUGGUGCAGUGUACAAAGCAAGGGAUCUCAGAACGCAGGAGCUUGUGGCUGUCAAGAUCAUCUCAUUAACAGAAGGGGAAGAAGGCUAUGAAGACAUACGGGGAGAAAUUGAGAUGCUGCAGCAAUGCAGCCAUCCAAAUGUUGUCCGCUACUUUGGAAGCUACCAAGGAGAGGAGUACCUAUGGAUAAUUAUGGAAUACUGUGGUGGUGGAAGUGUUGCUGACUUGAUAGGCAUCACAGAGGAGCCUCUUGAUGAAUCCCAAAUAGCUUACAUUUGUAGAGAAGCACUAAAGGGCCUUGCUUACCUGCACUCCAUUUUUAAAGUUCACAGAGAUAUUAAGGGGGGCAACAUCCUUCUAACUGAGCAAGGCGAGGUGAAGUUGGGUGAUUUUGGUGUAGCUGCCCAGCUGACAAGAACCAUGUCAAAGCGCAACACGUUCAUUGGUACUCCACAUUGGAUGGCACCAGAGGUCAUUCAAGAAAGUCGUUAUGAUGGAAAGGUAGACGUUUGGGCAUUAGGUGUAUCUGCAAUCGAGAUGGCAGAGGGCAUGCCACCAAGAUCCACUGUGCAUCCAAUGAGAGUUAUCUUCAUGAUAUCUAGUGAACCAGCACCUAUGCUGGAGGAUAAAGAGAAAUGGUCUCUCCUCUUCCAUGAUUUUAUUGCAAAGUGUCUUACUAAAGACCCCAGACUUCGGCCUGCUGCAAUUGAGAUGCUGAAGCACAAAUUUAUUGAGAAGUGCAAUAGUGGAGCUUCGAAAAUGUUGGCAAAGAUCAAGGUAGCGAAGAAGAUUAGAGCCACACUAGCUGUGCAAAAUGAGCUGUCUGACCCUGACAAUACAACGCAAGAUGUGCCUUUUCGAAUAAAUGAGGACUAUGGGGAAACUGUCCCUACAAGUUCUCAGCAACACAUGAAACAUGGCACAUAUAAUGAUUGUCAGGCAGGUGAUUUUGGUACUAUGAUUGUUCAUACUGAAGAUGGGGACGAAGUGACAGAAUCACCCAUUUUCCCAAGAACAGAAUUCAUACCCGGCCUUGGUAGCAUCAAUUCUUUCACACAUGAUCCAAAGAGAGCAGAACUUAUUUCAAGUUUUUGGGCGGAGAACAUAGGUGAUAGUGAUGCCAAUAAAGACCGAGAUACAGAUUAUGGUCCUGACAUGCAGGAAUCAAAAGUGAUCUCACCUUUAACUGGAACAGUGAAGAAGAAUAUUGGUGCAGAAGGGACUAUAAGGUGCCAUGAUAAUCAAAUUAACUUGUCACCAGGACUUGCAAACACAACAACUAAAUUGAACAACAGCCCAAGCCGUAAAGCGUUUUCAGUUCAGGAUAAGCUCUGGUCAAUUUAUGCUGCCGGCAACACUGUACCAAUACCAUUUCUUAAGGCAAUUGACAUUUCACCACUAGCUCUAGUAUCAGAAAAUGAAUCAGGAAAUGGCCUGGCUGGGUCAAGUACAAAUGAUGCUUUGGAGGCAGUUAGGGAGCUGUUCAGUGGUGAUGGGCAGGCAAAGAAAGGACGGAAAGGGCAAAACGAAGUAUGCGGCAGAUUCUUUUCUUUAACUCUUGCAGAGUAACUUAUCUUUUAAUGAUUGCAGAGGGAAACUUAGGCCGUUCUUAGUGGGAGUUUCAUUCUCAUUAAAUGACAUACCACCUAAGCAAACAGGAUGACAUGGCAUGCAAUUCAAUGAAGGGGGAUAUGAGUUUCAUACUUUCAUGAGGAUGUAUCUAGACCUAGACAAAUGUUGACUUGACAGCUUUGGAAACAGUGCGAUGGAACUAUCCAUUGAGAAUGACCUUAGGCCAAUUUCAGUGGGGAGUUCUCUAACACAGUUGCCGGGACUGCCACGCCAACUUUUGUGUCUGUGCCAACGGGUUUCAUCCGAUAAAACUCCCUCUAUCUCUCUCCAUAGUUAACCUGGUCCCUCUUCCUCCGGGUGUGCAUCACAGGCUGACGACAAGCCCCACAUUGAUGAACCUGGCCCAAGCUCUAGCUUAUCAUAAAACGUGCUAUGAGGACAUGCCGCUACAAGAUUCACAAGCGACGCAAGAGCAGCAAACGAUACAAAAUCUUUGUGACACACUUCGCACAAUACUGAGGUUGUAGAUCUGCAAGAGUGAAGGCUGCAACCUUUGGAGUUCCGAAGCCUGCAUGGAGCCAAGGGUGAACGUGGCACUGAUCCUGCUCGUGGUGGAGAACUGAGGAUCGAAGGAACGCAUGACAUGUGCCUACCGUGGAGCAGGCCUAAUGGCUUCUGCGUUUUAGCCUGUGGACGCUUUGGUCACUGGAAGCUGGGUUGACACAGGAAUCUCUACGGAAGUGGAAAUUUCUGUCCCUGUUAAUAGCCUCUUGGAGUUUCACUAUGUAGAGACGGCAUCAAAUUUUGCUAAUCAGAUUUUGUGGCACUAACGCAUAUUGUAGCCUGGUUUUGUAUCGUUGUCAAUGCAUUUGUUCUCCAAAUAAAGAGAAAUAGUUAAGCAGAAAUAAACGAAAAGUUAUUUA